rnacentral:rRNA from 1 species
CGCGAAGAACCUUACCAGGUCUUGACAUCCUUUGACCACUCUAGAGAUAGAGCUUCCCCUUCGGGGGCAAAGUGACAGGUGGUGCAUGGUUGUCGUCAGCUCGUGUCGUGAGAUGUUGGGUUAAGUCCCGCAACGAGCGCAACCCUUAUUGUUAGUUGCCAUCAUUUAGUUGGGCACUCUAGCAAGACUGCCGGUGACAAACCGGAGGAAGGUGGGGAUGACGUCAAAUCAUCAUGCCCCUUAUGACCUGGGCUACACACGUGCUACAAUGGGAAGUACAACGAGUCGCGAAGUCGCGAGGCUAAGCUAAUCUCUUAAAGCUUCUCUCAGUUCGGAUUGUAGGCUGCAACUCGACUCCAUGAAGUCGGAAUCGCUAGUAAUCGUGGAUCAGAAUGCCACGGUGAAUACGUUCCCGGGUCUUGUACACACC